rnacentral:tRNA from 1 species
GGAAAGAUGAUCGAGUGGCUUAUGAUGUAGCAUUGGAAAUGCUAUGUAGACUAAAAAUGUUUACCGAGGGUUCGAAUCCCUCUCUUUCCU